rnacentral:misc_RNA from 1 species
AAGUCGUAACAAGGUAACCGUAGGUGAACCUGCGGUUGGAUCAUUUACGAUCUGCACCCUGACAAAGGGUCGAUCCACAACUGUGCACCUGUCGACGUACUUGGCGGCUGGAAUCUGCUACACCGAGGGACCCCUUGGGCGCGACCAAGGUGGAGUAGAUCCGCGUCGGAUGCGCAAGUCUUACGACUCGGCUCCGGCGUAUGCCGUCUGUGAAACAAACAUCUUACACUUUUGACUGAACCAUCAAGUCACGCAAGUGAUCAAAAUCCAAAACAACUUUCGACAAUGGAUCUCUUGGCUCUC